CAAAGUAUGAAGCCACAAAGGCAGUACUUCAGAUGAUGUCCAAGCAAGAAAAUUACAAGGAUAAACGCAUGGCCAUAGAUAUCCAUAAUAAAGGCUAGAUGUCUUACGGCGCAGUCUCCAUCGUCAUCACCGGCGGCCAUCUUGCCUCAGGCAAGUUUUCUGGCGUGCUCUGUGGUACCUAAUGUAAGGUGAGUGAUCAGCACGAACACAAAUACUCUUAUCUCAUUGAAUUCUUGACAGAUUUACAAACAGUUUGGUUUCUUACAAACGUUAUGAACGUGGCUAUAAAUCUUGAUGCUUGAACAUGUCGAAAUUGCAGAUUUUCUUGUCGAAAUAUGACUUAAUCGUGCAGCAUAGUUGUGCAUCAUGGCUACUUGCGCAAGUUAUCAAGGCUGAGACCACUGGUCAAUUAUAUAGGUUUUACUGACACUAAUAACGAUUGUAUGACAAUUAAUCUUUGUUGUAAAUUACAAUCUUUGUCGAUGUGACUGUAGUUAUUAGUUGGCUAAUAGGCUAAUAACGAACAUACAACAACACUCAGAUUAUUGCUAACGUUAGCUGGCUAAUAACAAGAAGCUGCGAAGUGAGACCUAACGUUAGUAAGUUAGCAGCUAACGUUACAGUUUAGCUAGCUGCUAACGUUAACCAGCAACUUUACAUCAGUGGAAGAGGCAGAAUUGCACAUGAUUUCCAAUCGAUUUGGUUUGUCAAAACAUCUUACAUUAUGUUACAGGAAUUUGCUGGGUUUAUUAAAAGGAAAAUGCCACACUUUUGUGCAGCCUACGGAUGCUCAAAUCGCCGUAGUGUCAAACAAGAGCCAGUGGGAUCACCUUUCACAUGUUUCCCAAAAACGGAAAGAUGAGGAGGCUGUGGGAACUUGCCCUAAGAAGGGACGGUUUUGUUGCAAAUGACAGGACUCUGCUUUGCAGUGAGCACUUCAGGAGUGAGGAUUUUGACUGAACAGGGCAGACUGUCCGACUUAAAGAUGGUGUUGUGCCAAACAUUUUCAACUUUCCAGCACAUCUUCAAAGGGUAUGUGUAUCAUUGAAAUUUAAUCACAUAUUGACAUACCAAUCUUAUACACCGUGAAUUGUUGUUGGUCACUUUUGUUUUUGUUUCUGCAAGUUAUAUUAUGUGUUGUUUAGUAGCACCUUUUAGACACUCAAAACGUCUUUACUUAAUUUUAGCUAGUAGCCACAAGUAACACAACCACCUCUAGAAGAGUGGAAGACAACCUGCCAAUGGACAUGUCCCAGGGUGUACCUCAACCUGAUGUUUGAGCCACUGGAGAGAGGGGUUUGAGCUGCAAGCGGCAGGCCACUGACCACUUGUAUGCAUUGCCUGCUUGCCCUAAGGCUAUAAAAGCCAAACUUGAAGAAGCCUCAGCAACCGUGAGGAAACUGCAGCGGGAAAAGAGUAUUGCCUUGAGGAGAGAAAAGUGGGCCAAGAUGAACAUGCGGGCUCUUCUGGAGGAAUUGAAAGAGAAAAAUCUAAUCAAUGAAGAGCUAAGAGACAACCUUGAAUGCUAUUCAG